ensembl:lncRNA
GGUGACGGUAGGAGCCGCCUCGUAGGGCUGCGGUGCCGUUAGCGCCCCGGCAGCGGGAGCUGCCUCGCCGCCACGGGGUGGUGAUCGCGGCGAAGCGGGACUUCGGGCUCCCUUGGCCCUACAGCCGCCUCUUGCGCCCCUCCCCGGGCCUCUUUCCGCCGCCGCGGGGCAAGCUACAGUGCAAGAAUGAUCAUCCCAGUGAGAUGUUUCACAUGCGGCAAAAUAGUUGGAAACAAGUGGGAAGCCUAUCUUGGCCUUCUGCAAGCAGAAUAUACAGAAGGAGAUGCCCUGGAUGCCCUUGGUUUGAAGAGAUACUGCUGCCGCAGAAUGCUCCUGGCCCAUGUGGAUCUGAUUGAGAAGCUUUUGAAUUAUGCGCCCCUGGAGAAAUGAGAUAGAUGAACAAAGUACCACACUGCAAACUACAUGGAGCGGAUCUCUAAUGCUAAACUUGAAACUGGACUUCAGGUAGUAAUGGAUGAAAGCCACCUGUCAUGCAGCCACUGGGAAAUGUUUAGCCUCUGCAGAAAAUACUGCCCUGAGACAAUAACGUCUUUCAAGGAAACAAAGGAAAGAUGAAGUCCACUUAACCAAGAUUUGGAGAUCAAGUUAAAAGUUUGGAUGCUUCUUUUUUUAAAUCUGUGUUUGGAGUUGUUUUGUGAACUUUUAGAUGCAGCUGCCAGCAAAAAUAAGUGUGUGUUCAUAUAGAGAAAUUACUAUAUUUCAUUAAAAUGUUGAAAUAAAGGAGGUCUUUCCCUGUAGGCUUCCUACAGUUUCUGGAUAGAGUGUGUGCUUGGAUCCUGCCAUUUGUUUGUGCUGGUUACUUUGAGGUUAGGAGUACUAUUAAGUAAGUUUGGUCCUUUGCACUAGGCAGGCAGGGGGAUUAGAAACAUGGGACUGAAGCUCAACUGUUCCAGCAACAAGGAAGUGGGUAAGUUUGGUAAGAAUGAGGCAUUACUCCUGAAAGCUGCUGGAGCUAUCAGAGCGUACUUCCCACUGCAGUUCAAAUCAACUUGUGGUCUCUAUCCCAAUUCUUACGAAACACUGCAGCUGCUGUAUUAUAAAAAACAGGGCAUCAGAUGGUGCAGUGCCCUUCAGUUAGGUAAAACAUGUAUGAGUGUUCCUAUGGAAAGCACUUGAUGUGCGAAUUUACGCAUGCUGGUGUGAACAGGAUCAAAGUCUUGAUCUUGCCAAGCACCUGUACCUCCCUGUAGCUGGUACACAUGCAAGCUUUCCACUUGCUUGUCAUUUCACUGGCUUCACGUUGUGCUGGGCAGGUGGUGUAUUACUGCCUGGCCAAAUGGAGGCUGUCCUGGUAGAACCAAACACAGAGAGGUCAGCCAUACAUGCCGGGCUUGUGCAGGUUACCUCCAUGGGGAGACAGGCACUGACCCUGCCAAAAAGUCUCACCUUCCUAUCGUGCUGUCGGCUUGAAAGCGGAGCAUGUUUCACGCUGUUCUCUGACAUCCAGAAAACACACAGGCAGACACACCCACCCUACCUGAAAAUUAAGGAGGCCAAUUCCUACAUCUGUGAACACUCAGGAUUCUGUUCAAAGGCAGCGUUAGUCCACAUGCACAUGUAGGACAAAUCAUCGUUGCAGCAGCCCUGUAGAAAACAGGCUAGAACAGAUGAUGAUCCCUCAGCUUGCAGCCUGUUAUUCCUUGAUACAGUGAAACUUUUGGCAGUCACCUAUUGGCUGCUGGGUAAGAAGUAUCUCUGGAUUUUUUUCCAUAGUUGAAUAACCACAAAGUUGAACAAAACCUGGGUUUCCAGAGAUACUAAUUAUUUAAUGUGCUUACUGUCAAACAUGUACACACAAACCUUAAAACUAGAUUGUCUCACAAAAUAAGUUGCAGGUCAGCUUGCCUUUGGCUAUCACCCCACCAAUCUUUACACUUGACCUUGCUUUUCAAUUUAGUGCAAGGCAAUAGUAGGUUUCCCAAAUUCAGCAGUUUUUCACUGAAGACAUUUUAAAACCGUAUGCUUUAUCCUAAUGCAAAGAGAAUUAAGCAAUUAAUUCUAGCAUUUGUUUCAUAGUUGAUUGGACAGCUUAUGUUCUGCAUGCCUGCUGUGUUAGCUAGUUAAAUGCACUUAAACACCACUUCUCUUUCAGGCUAUUUUAUAAAAGGGACACUAUAAAAUAUAGGAUGACCUUUCCAAACUGAACUCCUGUAGGACACUUUUCCAUGUUCCAGUGGAGCAUUACAUGGAGAUGCGUGCCAGGUUGCUCACAGAAAGAUGAGAAUGCCAGGCCCAGCACUCAUUCAUGAGCUGUACUGAGAAAGCGCAGCAGCCCAGGCUGGUAUGUCUGGCAGAGGCAGCCGUGCGUUAUGCCGUGUGGAAAGCUGUCCUGCAUGAGUGCCAAAGAACUGGAUUAGACGAACUGACAGGACUGUGUUUCUAGCUGCAAAAGCAAUUAUCUAAUCUAGUUUUCUGCUUUAAAAUAAAGUGUUUCUUUUCAAAGCUGAUCCUAAGUUGUGCAAUAUGAAAAGCUAUGGCUCUUAAACACUUAUCAUGAAGAUGCAAUUUGCAAAAACACAGCAGGCCUCGUUCAGAAAGUUAAAGGAAAAAUAAAAACUGCCUUAGUUGCUCUCAUUACUGUUUCUCAGACAGAAAACAUGGUGCAGUAGGAGACAGUGACAGUCUGGUAUCGCUCUGUCAGACAGACGUUACACAAGGAGCAGGAAAAAAACCUGAGCAGCAAGACUAAGUCACAGCAGGCAGCAACAUUAGCUCCUGCAGCACAUGACAACUUCUCUGCAUCGCAGCCCUUCCUUGGGAGUUUGCAAAUGCAGCAUUGACCAAAAAAAAGCCAUUUCUGUAAUGUGGAGAAGCAAAUGGUUUAUCGUGUUCAUGUGAAAGGUUGUCUCUAGAGCUUUGUCCUUGGGAGGGUUAGGGGCAGCAGCAGAGCUUAAAUCCUGUUCUGUAAAGAGACAGGGAAUUUUUCAGUGCAUUUCUAUAAAUCCCAGCUUUCACCCCUGCUCACUGGUAACUAAGAAAGUAACUCCCUUUCCGCUGUCAUUUCUCCUGUGCUUGCUUCUGCAGCUGUUAAUAACAUAAGUGCAUUGGAUCUGCUUUCUAACCUGCCAGAUCUCUUUAGAGAAGAGCCAUUGAAUAUGCUCACAACCACCAUGUUGUUUAAAGCCAAUGUGAAAGACGUGUAUACACACGCACAUGGAGAAAAAGCCUUGGUUUUCACUGAAUCUUAAUAAAAAGGAACCCUUAGCAGAAUCAACAAAGAGGCAGAAGUGGCAAAGAAAGAGAAAUAGGACUGAAUAUACAGCUCUUAAUUACACGUGGAAAUCUGUCAUUUGGAAGCUUGCUGAAAAAAAACCCAACAAGAUCCCACCAGUCCCUGCAGUCAUUCAUUCACCUUAUAUAUAAAGCAUUUCAUGAAUUUUUCAAGUCUGUUUUGAAAGCCUGUUGCAGGGCUCACACAAACCUGCUAUUGGAAAAGCAAGCAAGCACCAUCAGAAGUGUAACAGCAAAACCCCCAGCGCCCAGGCUGCAGCCUCCCAGGCCAGGACAGCAUCAGGCAGGACUUUCACACAUCACUAUCAUAUAAAAAUAAUGAAGUAGUGCCUGAGAAGCAUGUGAUAGGAGUUGAGGUCAUGAAAGCACAGAGGAAUCUGCCUGUGGCGUCCAGAGUCCUGCUUCUACCUGGAGCACCAAGGUAUGUGUGUGCUUGGAAAGCUUUACAUUUCUUGACAGUUUUAACCAAAGAAACAAACCUCUUGCUCAAAAUUCUGAGUCCACCUGCAGGAAGGAAGUGACAUGCUUUCAUGCCUAUCUGUAAUGAGCCUCAAGCCUUGUAUUUCAAAAGUUUUGCUCCAAAAAAUCACCCCUUGUGAGCAUCGCACCCCAGGAUGAUUUAUUGAGAGAUGUGUGCUGGGUUUUUGUUCUUCCUGUACCCUCUACCUGAAUACAGCCUGCAAUUG